AUGCGAAGAUUCAAAUACCAUGUAAGCGUAACUUCUUCUAAAGAAGUUAUGUCUAAGAUGGUUUAUAUAGAUCUUGGAGUUGGGUGUAAAAGAUGGUUCAUGAGUUGGGAUAAGUCAGCAUGCUCAAUGCAAUUCAGGAGGCAUACUAGCAGAUAGAAACAUUAAUUCUCCUGAAUCGACCCAAAACAUAUCCCAGUCUUCGACUCCAUCAGCUACACUCUCUCUAGUACCGAUUUCCUCUUUAUUGGGAUGGGGCAAGGAUCCCGAUACUAUUUUCAGUUUCAUAUGCCUAGAUGAUGAUUAAAUGAUAAGGUAGAAACUGUACAUUUCUGUAAUGUAAAUCCAUAGAGAAGUAAAAUUAAUGUGUUUGUUCAAGUA